UCAACCCCACCUGAAGUCUGGUCGAAAUGUGACCCUAGCCCAACCUUUCUUCUUUCGGUAUGCCGCUUCCCCCAAGUGAAACCCUCGUUUUGUGUUGCUUGCCUCAGUUUUCAAUAUGUAUCCUCUGAAUCUCUGAUUACAGUCGAAUAUUCGAAGUGGCCAUAAUGAAGAACCUAGCUCUUCAAUCAUAUGUGCGCGUAAACGGAAAUGCUACAGCCUACAACCUUCUUUUGACGACCGGUACAACAAGAUAAAGAGUGAACGUCAUGGUUCGAGUGUUCGAGCGACCUGGUUCGAGUGUUCAGAGAACGCUGAGAGUGAACGUCUCUCGCCAUCUGCCCUUCUCCACUUCUCUCAGAGAUCAAUGAUUCAAUUCAAUGCAAGUAUAAUUUCAAUUUUGUUUAAUCCAAUCAAUCCAAUUUGGGGCAAUUUUUAGGGUUAAAGAUUGAUCUCAAAUUCAAUUUCGUGGGUUAAUUAUAGACUUGUAAUGGAUUGAACAUUGCGGUCAAGGAUCUGCUAUCUGCGAUGUGGGUUUAAUUGAUGUGAAAAUCAAUCAAGGUCAGUAGGUGUAGGCGUGUAGUUCUUAGGAGGCUUCUUGAGUUCUUUUAAACUACAUCUUUAAUUGGGUUUAACAGAUGCAGUACCAUUUACUUCUCUCUGCUUCUCUCUUUCUGUUUAUUUAAAUGUUUAAUUGUGAAUGAGUCAUUGGCACUAUGAACUAGAAGUCUGGAACUAUGAACUGGAACAAAAUGUUUGUUUUCUAAUUUCUAUAUUUGUUUAUGUGACUAUAUAUAGUUAAAUUAUCUCAAAUGUUAUAGGCGUGGUUCAAAUGCUCACUACGUCCCCCUUGACUAGGUGUAUCUUUUUUUAAUUAAUAAAAUUCUCUCGCACCGUCGAGAUUUUCCAUAAUUUUUUUUUUGUUUUUUUUUUUGUUUAAGAAAUUCAAGCCCCCCCUAAGGUUUCAAUAGUUAAAUAUAACGAGAUUGAGAGAGUGAAUUAUUUGAUAUAUCAUUCAUCUCACAAUGGAGGCAUAUAAAGAGAAUUACAGGAAUACAAUUGACUUACGUCUCUAUUCUCUACCACACAAAGAAUAGGUAAGUACUAACUACAAUAUAAUUACAAUAUAUUACAUUCCUAAUAUUAUACCAUGACUCACGCUAACAUCAAUCCUGGAUCCUCCACUGCACACUAUCCAUGUUUAUAAUUGGUGUCAAUCACAAUGAGUACACUCCUAAUAUUAUGCAUGAAGCUUGAUUAAAUGUGUUUUCCUUUUACGUAUUUUGUUUAGUCCUAUUAGAAUUGACAUCUUUGUUGAUGAUUCUAAGUUGGUGCUUAUGCAUUUUUGGUAUGAGUUGCUUGUACAAGUAAAUCGUGUAUAUAUAUAGUCCGGGGUAUAAAAAUGAUUUCGAUCUGGUAAUUGAGUUACACUAGUAUAGGUAAAUUAUUGAUUUAAAUAUAACAUACAAGAAGUACAUGGGAAAGUCAUAAUGAACAUGAAGAAGCCAAUAUAAAUUUAGCUAGUUUCCGAUAACUAAGCAUAGCACAUUAGCAAUAUGUGAAUCAUUCUGCAUACAUAAUUCUAGUUUAUUAAAGCCUCUAUCAUCGUUAAGGUCUGGAAACUUUGAUGAGCUACUGUUAUUUUGGCUUUAGUAUAGCAACCACAAGUAUUAACUUUUGUUUUGUUCAGGCUGUUCAAAACUAUCUGCUAGUUCUCGACAGGAAAUUGACUGGAGUGACCUUCUAUACUCCCGACCCGCAACUUCUCUACAUAUGUGGAACUAAGUGUCAUGCUUCAGAAUAAUGCAACUUAUGCCUAGAUCAAAGAUGUUAUUAAGCAAGAGUCUGAUGGAGAGCUCAAUGGAAUCCUCGGAUUCCGUGAUGAUCAGAUUAUGUCAUCUUACCUCAUUGGUGACAAGAGGUCCUGCAUCUUUGAUGCCCAAUCUGGUACUGCAACGAGCAAUAGAUUUUUCAAUCUUGUAGCCUGGUGCAACAUGGAAUGGGGUUUCUGUUCUCGUAUGAUGGACUUCAUUUCAUACAUGGAUUCACAUCGCGUUUGAACCUGUGAAGAUGCACUGCUAGUUAAUAUUUGAACUUUUAGUUAGUCUCCCCCACCCCCUCUUGGCUGAGUUGUAGAAACGGGGCAUUGCACUUUAGCUUUAGUAGUUUUGAUAUUCGGAGAAAUUUGAUGGGGGUUGAUAUAUAAGUAUAUGUAGGAGUUGUUCUCUUGAUCUGUUUGUGUUUUCCUUUCACUCAAACAGGGCAUUGCACUUUAGCUAUAGUAGCUUUAGUAGUUAAUUUUGAUUUUCGGAGAAAUUUGAUGGGGUUGAUAUAUAAGUAUAUAUAAGAGUUGUUCUCUUGA